UACCAGCACCCCGAGUGGUCGGGACGUUUAUUGGGCCUAAAGCAUCCGUAGCCGGUUCUACAAGUCUUCCGUUAAAUCCACCUGCUUAACAGAUGGGCUGCGGAAGAUACUAUAGAGCUAGGAGGCGGGAGAGGCAAGCGGUACUCGAUGGGUAGGGGUAAAAUCCGUUGAUCCAUUGAAGACCACCAGUGGCGAAGGCGGCUUGCCAGAACGCGCUCGACGGUGAGGGAUGAAAGCUGGGGGAGCAAACCGGGAUUAAGAA
rnacentral:rRNA from 1 species